rnacentral:rRNA from 1 species
UACGUAGGGACCGAGCGUUGUCCGGAUUCAUUGGGCGUAAAGGGCUCGUAGGUGGCCAACUAAGUCAGACGUGAAAUCCCUCGGCUCAACCGGGGAACUGCAUCUGAUACUGGAUGGCUUGAGAUUGGGAGAGGGAUGCGGAAUUCCAGGUGUAGCGGUGAAAUGCGUAGAUAUCUGGAGGAACACCGGUGGCGAAGGCGGCAUCCUGGACCAACACUGACGCUGAGGAGCGAAAGCCAGGGGAGCAAACGGG